GACAGAGGCCUCGAGCGUUGGGCGGAAUCACUGGGCUUAAAGCGUGUGUAGGCGGGCCCGUAAGUGUCUUGUGAAAUCCCACGGCUCAACCGUGGAACUGCUGGGCAUACUGCGGGUCUUGGGCCAACUAGGGGCAGCCGGAACAAGCGGUGGAGCGGUGAAAUGCGUAGAUAUCGCUUGGAACGCCGAAGGUGAAAACAGGCUGCUGGGGUUGCGCCGACGCUGAGACACGAAAGCCAGGGGAGCAAACGGG
rnacentral:rRNA from 1 species